CAAUAGCGUAUAUUAAAGUUGUUGCAGUUAAAAAGCUCGUAGUUGGACUUCUGAUGUGGAGGGACGGUCCGCCUCACGGUGAGCACUGAUUCUUCACGUCUUCCUCUCGUAGUCUUUUGGCGCACUUAGUUGGGUGCCUUUAGAAUAUGGGACCUUUACUUUGAGAAAAUUAGAGUGUUUCAGGCAGGCUAGGCCGGAAUACAUUAGCAUGGAAUAAUGGAAUAGGACUACGGUCUCUUUGUUGGUUUGAGGGACUGCAGUAAUGAUUAAUAGGGAUAGUUGGGGGCAUUAGUAUUUAAUUGUCAGAGGUGGAAUUCUCGGAUUUGUUAAAGACUAACUUAUGCGAAAGCAUUUGCCAAGGAUGUUUUCAUUAAUCAAGAACGAAAGUUAGGGGAUCAAAGAUGAUCAGAUAC
rnacentral:rRNA from 1 species